rnacentral:rRNA from 1 species
CACGGGGGGAGCAAGCGUUGUUCGGAAUCACUGGGCGUAAAGGGCGUGUAGGCGGUCAAGUAAGUGGAAUGUGAAAGCCCCCGGCUUACCCGGGGAUCUGCGUCCCAAACUGCUUGGCUUGAGUACGGGAGAGGAUAGGGGAAUUCCUGGUGUAGCGGUGAAAUGCGUAGAUAUCAGGAGGAACACCGGUGGCGAAGGCGCCUAUCUGGCCCGAUACUGACGCUGAGGCGCGAAAGCUAGGGGAGCAAACGGG